UCAGCUAUAUGAUCGGCUGCCGUGGUUAUUAAUAUCUCACAGAGUAUUUACGCGUCUCCUCCCUCCUGUUUUAGGUGGAAGCCAUGGAUGUUGACGCUCACGCUCAGAGCAGUGCCACCUGGAUCCUGGACUCCAAAGAUCCCAAGCGCACCGUCAGCACCAACUGACCGCUGUGUCGGAUGCCAAACAGAAAGGAAAGUUGGGAUGCCAAUGACAGCAUGACUGUGGAUGAAACAUCACGUGUAUUGUGUGUGUUUAUAUAUAGAUCUAUGUAAGUGUCAGAAGUCUCCUCACACCUGCAGUGAACUUCACCUUGAACACACAAACACAUGAGCCAAAGACAAACAAAAAGCGUCCCGUCCAGUUUAACACACUUAACAAAACCCCUCUCCCUCUGAAAAACAUCUGGCUUUUAUCAGAUUUCUGACUGACGCAUUCAAGGACUAACACUGGAAGCAGUCACUGUAUUCUCCCGCAAAAACAAGAGCCAGUGUUGACGUUGCCUUUGCUUUGAUUUCUUUGAGUUUUGUUUUAUUUUUAUUGUGAAGCGACAGUCUACACACCCGUUUUGUCUGUGAUUUUGUCGUCUAAACUGAUGGUCUUUCAUCUCACAAAGCGUAGAUGCUUUUAUUUUGUCUGAUAUCUUCGAAAAUAAAUCCAGCAAGUUAGAAACACUGAUUCCAGUUCAGCAAAACACUGAUUAGAGAGAACAGUCUUGUCUUUUGAUGUCCAAUUAAGAUCAAUCCAUCCGUAAGUUUGAUUCUUACUGUCAGUAUUUUAAGUCAGGUGACCAACAGGCUUUAGUACAAAUGUUUGUCAAGCUAAACAAUUUGGGCAAGACCAUUCAAACAUAAGAAUUGUGAACUACGGUGCGAGUUUCAAUAGGAACGGUUUGGCCUUUGAAGGUCACAGACAGAAACUCGGUGCCAGAUUAGUGAGAGAUACUCGGUGUUGUGAUGUCUUAUGGUACACUAUAUUGAUAAGUUAAUACGUUUAUGAUGGCAUGAGAAUGGUACAGUCCAGAUCCUGGUACUUGUAGUGACUCUUACACGUAUACUGUGAUUUCUUAUACAAAAUAAUGGCGUUAAUGUGACACUACAAACAACAGCGAGUUGCUUUUAUGUGUAGAGUUUUGUGUCUUUCCUUUAAUGAUUAAGUUGCAGAAAGCAGGGUAUGUCUAAAAAAUAAAAACGAAACGGAUGAAAAGGUUUAAAAAUUGAAAUUUGCAUAGUCAUCUGUCAUGGACGAACCUGUGCUUAUGUUUUGUGUAGAUAAUGAUACAUAAAUAUGAGGUGUAGAUGGGAAAUAUUCCUGUAUUCAUUUAGCCCUAGUUUACAAGGAUUUUAAGUAUGGUACUUUUUAUUUAGAUUUUUUUUCUUCUUCGUUUUUAACAUGGUACGUUAAAAAUGGUUACAGUGCUAAAUACAAGCAGAUGCUAAUGCUAGCACCUGUAACAGCUGCAGUGUUUGCACAACUAAUAACAACGUUAGCAAAUACAACAGUGACAGUUCGGAUCAUGUUCUUGGCUAAAUGAUUAAAAUAUAAACAAUAUCGAAUUGUAAAGUAAUCCUGGGUGGUCUGUCUUUUGAUACUUGAAUGAUUCUGCUUUUAUAGAUCUCUCUCUCUAUAUAUGUAUAUGUAUGUACUGUAUGUAUUUUUUUUUCUUUAACUUUUUGGUCAUGUUUUUGUCAUAUCUAGAGAGGAACGUCUUUUUAAAGCUCAACAUAUCAUGAUGUAAGUGAGCAUGAGACAGACAAUGGAAUCUCUGAGAGACUUUGCCACAGAAUCAAAGAACGAUUGUAAAUAAUCUUGGGCUUCCAGUCUUUUUUAUGAUUAUUAUUUUUCAUAAUUGUACAUCCAAUAAAUGAAGAGAUGGUA